AUGUGUGGGAGUCAUGUUUGCUCUGGCCUAGUGCAGAAGCCUAGGGCAGAAAGUAGUCACACAUUAGAGGUAUCCAACAUUUUCUCUUUCGAACUAUUUCUUAUAGGAUGGUGCCGGCUGGUGACUCAAACAACAAUCUGUACACGAUGUGUUCAUCACCUGGUCAAUUUGUGCCUGAGGAACCUCCUGAAGAUGAUGCCUUCCUGAGCCACUUCAAUUCCCGCUUUCUCUGCUCCACAGCCUCAGGCUAUACAUCUCACCUUUCUUACAAACAACACUGGCUCUAGGAGACAUGCGCAGGGGAUGAGGAUUACUAAAAAAAAAAAAAACAAUAAAAACCCAACCACUGAACACACAUGUCCUGCACACAGUGGGUCAGCAGUAUGACUGUCACAGGUGAAACUUGAACAUUGUAAAGAACAGGCUAUAGAGCUUCCCUAGGUCUACUUGCAAAUUUCUCAUUGAGAAGAAUUAAAUUCAGAAUUGCAAUCUGACUAUAACCCCCUCUGCGGCUUCCCAGGUAGCUCAGUAAUAAAGAAUCCACCUGCCAAUGUAGGAGAAGCAGGUUUGAUCCCUGGGUCGGAAGAUCCCUUGGAGUAGGAGAUGGCAACCUGCUCCAAUAUUUUGUUUGGGAAAUCCCAUGGACAGAGGAACCAGGAGGGUUACAGUCCAUGGGGUUGCAAAGAGUCAGACAUGACUAAAUGAUGGAGCAUUCACGCAUAACUCUCUAUUGGACCUAUUUUAUGGAAUAGAAAAUUGACAGUUGCUGUCUCUUUUAAGGAAAUUUGAAAGAGACCACAAUUAUGCCCAAAGGAAUUGUCAUACUCUAAGAAGUUGGUGACCCCAUUCCCUAUAGCCUCAAGGUAUUGUAGCUUUGACAAUAGCCUGGAUGUGACCUGAUAGCCUCAGAGACCAUCUUUGGAUUUUUCCAGGAAUAUAAAUGGCAAGUUAUUAUUACAUGAAUGUUACUUGUAGAACUUGAACUGAUGAGUAUAUUAGACACAUGCAUCAGGAGUGCAUGAACUCACAACAGGGUUGGCCAAGAGAGGUGAGCUGGAAAGAGAGAGCCAUCAGGUACUAACUGAGCUAUAAGGGAAGCCCCUGGAAAGAGAGAACAAUUAGGAAAUUACAACGAGAGAUGAAGGUUAAAUGGAACCAAGAUGGAGGUAUCUGCCAUUAUCUGAAUACGAUUAUGUGGUUUGUUUUUUUUUUUUUUGAGCCAAACUCCACUGAUAAGCCUGGCUUCCUUAGGGGCAGCAUUUCUCAGGCAAACAAGUUUAGAAGUCAUUUGGGAAGAAAUAUUUCUUUCCUCUGACAUGAGCGGCUAGGUGGAAAAGAUGAGUACACAUUUGCUUUGGGAGCAAGAAGUGCUGAGCUUAAUGCCUAUCAUCUCUUAGAGAUGAUGAUGUAUUAUAUAUAUCCAUAAAAUCACUGUAGCUGCUUGCUUUUUCCAGGGGGUCAGAGUACACACUCUUUAUCUUCAAAUGUCUGUUUUUUAGUCUGGCUAUAUCUUGAAAUCUGUUUUGAAUACAGCUCAGAUAGGAAGGCUUUUGUUAAGCACGUAGUGACUCACCUUCAAGCACAACAGAACACCAGGACAGCAGCCUGACCUUUGUAGUAAAAUUAAUUUGAUGCUUAUAAUCUAACCUAGAGUCCAUAGCUUUUAUUUAUAUGACAGAGUCACAAGACAAAUUAGCAGGGAUUAUUAAAUUCCACUUAAGCUCAUUAGAGGGGAGAAUUGAGGUUGAUGAAUUUCAGGAUACUGGUGAGUUGGCCAAAAACAUGGGAAAGGAAAGGAAUAUAGACUUCUAGGAAUAAAGUGAAAGAGGCUACCCUUAGUGCACAGUGGGCACUCAGUGAGAAGUGAUACAGUGAAUGAGGCAAGGGUAAGACAAAUGUGAUGUCUGACACCCAGGAAGCCCCUUUCCUACCUCCCACUGAUGCAUCUUCAAUCCCUAUGAGCUUCUCACA
rnacentral:lncRNA from 1 species